rnacentral:misc_RNA from 1 species
AAAAAUUUCAAAUCAAAUCUAAAAAUCUAAAAAAUGCUAAUUAACUUUAAAAAUUCAUAAAAAUUAUUGUGCACCUUAUUUGAGAAUGAUCAUAGAAUUAAAGAUGUUCACAAUCAUCUACAUAAUCUAGGAAAAUGUUAAAAAAAAAAUUGAAAUUUUUGAAUCAACCAGUUCUAUUUCAAAGAAAGGGGAACCAUAAGUGGCUUCCUUGGACCAAUUCCUUGGCUCAAAGACCAGAACUAUUAACUUGAUCUGAUCCUGACUUUGACCCAAUCAAUCCUAGUCUAGUUCAUGAUCUAAACCGAACCAUGGCCAGUAUAAAUGAGAGACCUUGAAAAAUUUUAAAAAUUUAUAAAAAUAAAGUUGAGAAUCUUCUGAGAUUCUUAACGAUAAGGAUAUGUUUGGUAGAAGGCUAAAAACAUCAAGGAUUAAAUGCUAACAUUAUAAGUUUUAACUUUUAAAACAAGGUAAUUAUAAACUUAGUCCCCUAAGAUCAACA